GUAGAUGUAUUAGAAAAGGAAUAGAGAAUGCUAAUGUUAGAGGGUCAGUUUUUUUAAUAAAUAAAAUGAAAACAAGUAGAUAGAAUAGAAAUAGAAUUGAGAGUUCUAGUGUUAGAAGGUCAACUUUCUUUAAUACA